UACGUAGGCAGCAAGCGUUGUUCGGAGUUACUGGGCGUAAAGGGUAUGUAGGCGGUUCUUUAAGUUUGCUGUGAAAUCCCCCGGCUUAACCGGGAGGGUGCGGUGAAUACUGAGGGACUAGAGUACGGGAGAGGAAAGUGGAAUUCCUGGUGUAGCGGUGAAAUGCGUAGAUAUCAGGAGGAACACCAAUUGCGAAGGCAGCUCGCUGGGACGUUACUGACGCUGAGACGCGAAAGCGUGGGGAGCAAACAGG
rnacentral:rRNA from 1 species